UCACUCUGAUGGACACGAGCACCGCACAGGGAGAGUUGGGCUGGCUGCUGGAUCCCGAGGAUGGGUGGAGCAAGAUGCAGCAGAUGCUGAAUGGGACACCCCUCUACAUGUUCCAAGACUGCGCAGUACAAGGAGGAGGAGACACUGACCACUGGCUUCGUUCCAAUUGGAUCUACCGGGGGGAGGAGGAUUUUCAAGUCUUCGUGGAGCUUCAGUUCACCAUGCGGGACUGUAAGAGUUUCGGGGAAGCCGGGCCUCUGGGCUGCAAGGAGACCUUCAACCUUCUGUACAUGGAGAGUGACCAGGACGUGGGUGUUCAGCUCCGACGGCCCAUGUUCCAGAAGGUCACCACGGUGGCUGCAGACGAGAGCUUCACCAUUCGAGACCUUGCAUCACGCUUGGUGAAAAUGAACACCGAGCGCUGCUCCCUGGGCCUCCUGACCGGCCGCGGCCUCUACCUCGCUUUCCAAAACCCGGGGGCCUGCAUGACCCUGGUGUCCGUACGGGUGUUCUACCUGCGCUGCCCUGAGGCUGUGCAUGGCUUAGCCCAGUUCCCUGACACUCUGCCUAGACCUGCCAAGUUGGUAGAAGUGGCGGGGACCUGCUUGCCCCAUGCCCAGGCCAGCCCCUCAGGAGCACCCCUCAUGCACUGCAGCUCUGAAGGCGAGUGGUUGGUACCAGUGGGGAGGUGCCACUGUGAGCCUGGCUAUGAGGAAGGCGGAGAGAGAUGCCAUGCCUGCCCAAGUGGCUCCUACCGGGCAAAUGUGGACUCACCCCAUUGUCUCAAGUGCCCCCAACACAGCAUGGCCGAGUCUGAGGGGGCCACCUUCUGUACCUGUGAGAGCGGCCAUUACCGAGCCCCUGGGGAGGGCCCGCAGGCGGCGUGCACACGUCCCCCCUCAGUCCCUCAAAACCUGAGCUUCUCUGUUUCGGAGGCUCAGCUCUCCCUGCAUUGGGCACCCCCAGCAGAUAUGGGGGGGCGCCAGGAUGUGAGAUACAGCGUGGGGUGUUCUCAGUGUCGGGGAGCAGUGCAAGGCGAAGCCCCCUGCCAGCCCUGUGCGGGAAAUGUGCGCUUCUCCCCCGGGGCCAGCGAGCUCACCAUGCCUGCUGUGCGCGUCGAGGGCCUUGAACCCUACGCCAACUACACCUUUCACGUUGAAGCCCACAAUGGAGUGUCAGGGUUGGGCAGCUCCAAGCCCGCCAGCGCCUGGCUCAGCAUCCACAUGGGGCACACAGAGUCACCACCGGGCCUGUCCCUGAGGCUGGUGAGGAAGGAGCCCAGGCAGCUGGAGCUGACCUGGGCGGGCUCCCGACCCCGAAGCCCUGGCGGGAACCUGACCUAUGAACUACACGUGCUGAACCAGGAUGAAGAAAGGUACCAGAUGGUACUAGAACCCAGGGUCCUGCUGACCGAACUGCAGCCAGACACCACGUACAUCAUCAGGGUCCGAAUGUUGACCCCGCUGGGCCCUGGCCCUUUCUCUCCUGACCAUGAGUUUCGGACCAGCCCACCAGUUUCCAGGGGCCUGACUGGAGGCGAGAUCGUGGCCAUCAUCUUCGGGAUGCUGCUGGGCCUGGGACUGCUGCUCGGGAUCUUUGUCUUCCGUUCCAGGAAACGUCGACAACUACAGCAGCAGAGGCAGCUUGAUUGUGUCACCAAUGUGAACAGAGGGGACAAGCAGAGGCUGAAGCCUUACGUGGACCUCCUGGCAGAACCCAUGACGACGUAUGAGGACCCUGCCCGGGGGGCCCUGGACUUCACCCAGGAGCUGGAUCCAGCCUGGCUGAUCGUGGACACUGUCAUAGGGGGAGGAGAGUUUGGGGAAGUGUAUCAAGGGACCCUGAGAAUCCCCAGCCAGGACUGCAAGACGGUGGCCAUUAAGACCUUGAAGAACACGUCUCCAGACGGCCAGUGGUGGAACUUCCUUCGAGAGGCAACAAUCAUGGGCCAGUUUAACCACCCGCACAUUCUGCACCUCGAAGGCGUUGUGACAAAGAGAAAACCCAUCAUGAUCAUCACGGAGUUUAUGGAGAACGGAGCCCUGGAUGCCUUCCUGAGGGAGCGGGAGGACCAGCUGGUCCCUGCACAGUUGGUGGCCAUGCUGCUGGGCAUUGCAUCUGGUAUGACCUACCUCAGUGACCACAAUUAUGUCCACCGGGACCUGGCAGCCAGGAACAUCUUAGUGAGUCAGAACCUGUGCUGCAAGGUGUCUGACUUUGGCCUUACCCGUCUCCUGGACAACAAGGAUGGUACCUACGAAACUCAGGGAGGAAAGAUCCCCAUCCGUUGGACAGCACCUGAAGCCAUUGCCGAUCGGAUCUUCUCCACGGCCAGUGACGUGUGGAGCUUUGGGAUUGUGAUGUGGGAGGUGCUGAGCUUUGGGGACAAACCCUAUGGGGAGAUGAGCAAUCAGGAGGUAAUGCAGAGCAUUAAGGAUGGGUACCGGCUGCCCCCUCCUGUGGAUUGCCCUGCUGCUCUCUAUGAACUAAUGAAGAACUGCUGGGCCUACAACUGUGACCAUCGGCCCCACUUCCACCAGCUAAAGACACAGUUGGAGCGAUUGCUGAACACCCCCCACACCCUGCGGACCAUGGCCAACUUUGAUCCCAAGGUAACCCUUCGCCUGCCCAGCUUGAGCGGCUCAGACGGGAUCCCCUAUCGAAGCGUCCCCGAGUGGCUGGAGUCCAUUCGCAUGAAACGCUACAUUCUGAACUUCCGCUCAGCUGGGCUGGACACCAUGGAGUGUGUACUGGACCUGACGGCCGAGGACCUGGUGCAGAUGGGGAUCACGCUGCCAGGACACCAGAAGCGCAUUCUUUGCAGUAUUCAGGGAUUCAAGGACUGAGCCCUCCCCUCCCCGCAUCCUGUCCUCAGGAAGCAAGGAUGGGGCCAGGGUCACUCAAGUCCUUUCCCUCAGCCUACCAGGCCUUGGUGCUGCUCCGACCCAUGCUUCCCUGAGGAACUUGCCUUUGGAGCCUGGGAGCCUCUUUGUUUUCAAAAGGGAGGUUGGGGUAUAAGUAAAGUCAUCGUGCUGGGAGGAGGGUUUAAUAUAUAUAUAGGUACACACAUAUAUAUUUUUAUAAGUAAACAGGAGCUGAAUUUUCACCUGGACCCCUGGUUUUUUUUAAUCCCUCAGUCUCCUCCAUCUGUAGCACAAGAGUCAACUGCUAAGAAUUCUGGAAAACAAGGUUUUUUAUUUGUAGCUGUAACCACAACCUGGCAGCAUGGUAGCAGGCAUCCAGUACAAGGAUGGGCAGUGGAUAGAGCUGCACCCAUCCCAAUAAAGGAUAUGGGGCCAUUCCCACAUGUCUCAAUUCCA